CACGAAACGUUUGUUCGCCAUCACAGCAACCUAACUAAGUACAUUAUAUUUAUUGUAUAUUUGUGAUUUAUGAAAAAAAACCAAAAACAUUUGCGUAUUUUUAUCAUCAAUUAUAAAAAUACAAAAAAUAUAAUACAUUUAGUUAGGUUGCUGUGGUGGCGAACAAACGUUUCGUG
rnacentral:miRNA from 1 species